GAGUGUGAAGCUUCUCAAUGGAUCAAAACAGAACUUCUCAUACAUAGGAUGUAUUUAUGCAUUUAUACUCUUUUUCAAGGCCGAAAAGGCAUUUCUUAUGCGCAGAAUUCGUGAGAUCCUUCCAGAAAUGAUUGAUGAGACAAUCUGCAUGUAAAUGGAAGACAUUUUCCCACCCUUUCAGUCCCUAUCAAUGGUUGGCUUCUACUAGUGUACAGCCGCCCACAUGAAGUGGCCGACACAUUGUUGUGGAUGAGGAUGUACAUGUGGGAAAAUAAUAGCACAUCAUGUUGAGAAUUAUUGCAGCUGUCAUACAGUGUUUGCCCGCUUUUGGAUGGCAUGUGUUACACAUACAUUGUCACCAAAAACAUGUUCCUUGGAACUCAAGUUGAUGAGACAAUCUGCAUCUAUUGCUUGCCAGGAGGCAGCCAUGAUACGAUUGGAUAUGAGGAUGUUGUAUUCCGUCCCGUUUAGAAGACAGGUACAUCUCCGUUUCUUGUGUCAGUAUCAGCCGGCAACAGA